AACGAACGCUGGCGGCGUGGCUAAGACAUGCAAGUCGAACGAACUAUUCAAUUGAGUAAUCGAGAGAAUAGUUAGUGGCGUAAGGGUUAGUAAUGGACAGAUAACGUACCCUCUGCUUCGGGAUAGCGUCUCCCGCACCUUUGUGGUGCGGGAUUCCGAAAGGGGCGGUAAUACCGGAUAAUAUCAUCUGCCUAUAGGCAGGUGCUUAAAGAUUUAUCGGCAGAGGAGCGGCCUAUCUCCUAUCAGCUUGUUGGUGAGGUAAUAGCUCACCAAGGCUAUGACGGGUAGCGGGACUGAGAGGUCGGCCCGCAACAUCGGGACUGAGACACUGCCCGGACCUCCACGGAGGGCUGCAGUAACGAAUCUUGCGCAAUGGGGGAGAGCCUGACGCAGCGACGCCGCGUGCGGGAGGAAGUCCCUCGGGAUGUAAACCGCUGUCAGGGGUAAGAAAGUACGCCUCGGCGUAUUGAUCAGCCCCACAGGAAGUCACGGCUAACUUCGUGCCAGCAGCCGCGGUAAGACGAAGGUGGCUAGCGUUGUUCGGUGUCACUGGGCUUAAAGGGUGUGUAGGCGGAAAGGUAAGCGUCCUGUGAAAGCCCUCGGCUUAACCGAGGAAUUGCGCGACGAACUGCUUUUCUUGAGGCAAGUAGGGGUGCAUGGAACUCUUGGUGGAGCGGUGGAAUGCGUAGAUAUCAAGAGGAACGCCGGCGGUGAAAACGGUGCACUGGGCUUGUCCUGACGCUGAGACACGAAAGCGUGGGGAGCGAACGGGAUUAGAUACCCCGGUAGUCCACGCCGUAAACGAUGUCUACUAGUUAUGGAAGUUCUGACACUUGCACAGCCGAAGCAAAAGUGUUAAGUAGACCGCCUGGGGAGUACGGCCGCAAGGCUAAAACUCAAAGGAAUUGACGGGGGCUCACACAAGCGGUGGAGCAUGUGGAUUAAUUCGAAGCAACGCGUAGAACCUUACCUGGGUUUGACAUGCUUGGAUACCUGCCCCGAAAGGGGAUUUGGUUGCCUUCGGGUGAAACUUGCACAGGUGCUGCAUGGCUGUCGUCAGCUCGUGUCGUGAGAUGUCGGGUUAAGUCCUCCCCACGAGCGAAACCCUUGCCGUUAGUUGCCAGCGGGUAAUGCCGGGAACUCUAACGGGACUGCCGGUGUUAAACCGGAGGAAGGUGGGGAUGACGUCAAGUCCUCAUGGCCUUUAUGCCCAGGGCUUCACACGUGCUACAAUGGCGGCAACAGAGCGACGCAAUACCGCGAGGUGGAGCAAAUCGCAAAAUGUCGCCCCAGUUCGGAUCGUAGGCUGACAACUCGCCUACGUGAAGUUGGAAUCGCUAGUAAUCGCGUAUCAGCUACGACGCGGUGAAUGUGUUCCUGAGCCUUGUACACACCGCCCGUCAAGUGAUGGAAGUUGGGAGUACCCGAAGUCGGGUUGCUAACUCGCCUCGGCGAGAAGCGCCUGCCGACGGUAAGCCCGAUGACUGG
rnacentral:rRNA from 1 species